GACGAACCGUGCGAACGUUGUUCGGAAUCACUGGGCUUAAAGGGCGCGUAGGCGGGCAUUCAAGUCGGUGGUGAAAUCCUCCAGCUUAACUGGAGAAGAGCUGUCGAUACUGGAUGUCUCGAGGGGUGCAGGGGUCUGCGGAACUUCGGGUGGAGCGGUGAAAUGCGUAGAGAUCCGAAGGAACGCCGGUGGCGAAAGCGGCGGACUGGGCACCUUCUGACGCUGGAGGCGCGGAA
rnacentral:rRNA from 1 species